GUAGUUCUCCAAGCUAUGGCUCUGGUUUCUCCUCUCCAAAGUUCACCUCUACUCAUCAGUCACAAUCAGAUUAUCGUUUGAUCAUCAACAAUGUGGAGGAGGGAGACUCAGCAGUUUAUCACUGUCAAACAUGGGACAGCUCUGUCAUGUCUUUAUAAGCUUCAGUCUCUCUUCUCCUCACACUCCAACCCUGCUCACCUCUCAGCUGGACAGUAAGGGACGUUUACACCACACACUGACAACAUGCUGGGGACCCUCUGCACUCUCAUCACUGCUCUAACAUAUGUUGAUGCAGUGAUAGUGCUGACCCAGACGCCUGCUGUCCACACAGUUUCUACAGGACAAGAGGUUGUUCUCAACUGCAACAUUGAGAGAUAUGAUCGCAGUUAUAUCACUUGGUAUAAACAGGUUCCUGGUGGAACUCCUCAGCAUGUUCUGAGAUUUCACUAUUCUAGCAGUUCAAUUUCCUUUGGAACAGGAUUCUCCUCAGACCGAUUCAACUCUAAAGCCUCAUCAAACAUAGAUUACCAGUUCAUCAUUAAGCGGGCAGAGACAGGAGACUCUGCCGUCUAUUACUGUGAUACAUGGGAAUACUCUGCUGCUGCAGCUGUAUUCGGACAAGGCACCAAGCUGAUUGUGACAAGCUCCAGCCUCUCUCCUCCUGUCCUGACAGUCUUCCCUCCGUCCAGCGCUGAGCUCCAGUCCAACACAGCCACUCUGGUCUGUCUGUCCAUUUUGCCCAGUGGGUCUAAGGGUUUUGCAGAUGUGAGUUGGGUGUCUGGUGGGAGUCCAGUGAGCAGUGGGAUCUCUACCAGCACCGCUGUUCAGAAACCAGACCAGACUUUCCAAAUCAGCAGCUAUCUGGCCAUCCAGACGUCAGACUGGAACAUGGAUAAGGUUUACACAUGUAAAGUGUCUUUGGGCUCCCAGACUUCAGAGAAAAACAUCAAGAAGUCAAACUGUCCCACUGAAUAAUAGCAGAGGAGCAGAAUGACCAUUUCUAACCUGCUUCUUUACUGUUUUUGCUGUUUGCUCAUUACAAGGUUUACAUGUUAGAAAAGAUGUGUCUGCAUGCUUGUAAUAAAUGUUGUGACAGUUAGGUGGAGGUGUUGUAUCAGCUUUGCAACUGCUGCAUUUUUCAAGAUUCAUUCAAUAAAAAAAUACAAAAAACUGUGAACAAAAA